GACCCCCUUAGCAACUUUUUGCUCACAAGAGAGACUAGCGACAAAUCUGGCGACUUUCUGUAGAAAAGACAGCGAUUUUCUGUAAAAAAAAAAAGAGACACCAG